rnacentral:lncRNA from 10 species
GUCCCCCUCGGUCAUGUCCCUUGGUAAGGAGAAAUGGAUUAGGCACUAUGGGAUAUUAACCACUAUUCUCUUUUCAUUAAUCUGCCUUGCACUGUUUGCUGACAGCUGUGAGUGACAGGAUUAGGCACGUACAGGAUCAUGGGACAUGGGGAGCUUUCUUCUCCCCAAAGGGGGAAACUUUAGAGAUGAUGAGAUUGCUGGAAAAGAUACCUUUGCUACUGACAAGCGACCUCCUGAACUAUUGAUCCAGUGUCAAUGGAAUGGAGGCCUCUGGCCUCCCUGAGCUCCUCAGCUUCUCCACCCCCCGGCAGGCAAUGCUUUUCUUCCUCUCUCCUUUCUCUUUUCUAUCUUUUCUGUCACUCAGGGUGACUCUCCACUCUUCCAUCUUGCCCAGCUACCAUAUGUUGAAACUUCUGGUUGGAGGGCAUUCCACCUCACUUGGAGUGGAUCAAAGAUGACAAGGGCCAUCGGGAGCAAGUUUGAGCCUUGCCAGGUUGAUGUUGGGCACUGAGUGGGGUGGCUAGUCUCCUGGAAUGGAAAAUGUUAAUUUGGUUUCCCCAUGCAGCCUGUUGGACAGCAUCUUACAAAAUUAAGAGGCUUUUGCCUGUGGUUCCAUGAAAUGGAAAAAGACGAUUUUCUUUUGUAACGUGUCUUGGCCCCCAUAGCAAUGGCACAGUAAGCAGGGCCAUCAAAGCCACAGAGAGAAAGGGAACCCAGAAACCUGGCAUGC